ACGAACGUUGGCGGCGUGCUUAAUACAUGCAAGUCAACUGAAGCAGUGGUAGCAAUAUCGCUGUGGAGGUGGCGCACGGGUGAGUAACACGUAGGUAAUCUGCCUUCAGGUCUGGCAUAACUCCGGGAAACCGGGGCUAAUAGCAGAUGAUGCAGCGGCUCGACAUCGAGACAGUUGUUAAAGCUAUGGCGCCUGCAGAUGAGCCUGCGUCUGAUUAGCUAGUUGGCGGGGUAACGGCCCACCAAGGCAACGAUCAGUAGCUGGUCUGAGAGGAUGAUCAGCCACACUGGAACUGAGACACGGUCCAGACUCCUACGGGAGGCAGCAGUAAGGAAUAUUGCUCAAUGGGAGAAAUCCUGAAGCAGCAACGCCGCGUGAGGGACGAAGGGCUUUUGCUUGUAAACCUCUGUAGUGAGAGAAAAAAAUCCCAAUCUUUGGGACAUGAUGGUAUCUCAAAAGUAAGCCCCGGCUAACUACGUG
rnacentral:rRNA from 1 species